ensembl:misc_RNA Metazoa_SRP Metazoan signal recognition particle RNA
GCUGGGCGUGGUGGUGCAUGCCUGUAGUCCCAACUACCUGUGGGGGCUGAGGCAGGAGGAUUACUUGCGCCCAGGAAGUUGAGGCUGCAGGAUUCCAGCCUGGGUGACAAAGUAAGAUCCUGUCUCAA